UGAGGAAUAUUGGACAAUGGAUGGAAAUCUGAUCCAGCCAUGCCGCGUGCAGGAAGGCGGCCCUAUGGGUUGUAAACUGCUUUGUAUGGGAGCAAUAAGGACUACGUGUAGUUUGAUGAGAGUGCCAUACGAAUAAGCAUCGGCUAACUCCGUGCCAGCAGCCGCGGUAAUACGGAGGAUGCGAGCGUUAUCCGGAUUUAUUGGGUUUAAAGGGUGCGUAGGCGGCGAUAUAAGUCAGUGGUGAAAUAUUUCGGCUUAACCGAGAGACUGCCAUUGAUACUGUGUUGCUAGAAUAUGGUUGCUGUCAGUGGAAUGUGAGGUGUAGCGGUGAAAUGCUUAGAUAUCACACAGAAUAUCGAUUGCGAAGGCAGCUCACAAAGCCAUUAUUGACGCUGAGGCACGAAAGUGUGGGGAUCAAACA
rnacentral:rRNA from 1 species